UUUUUUUAGAUCAUUUAACAGUUACUCACCUCAGGGUAAUAUAUUUUGGUACUUAGUUAGAAUGUUAGCAUGCUAAAAUUAGCAUGCUAGCUUUUUUAGAUCAUUUAACAGGUACUCACCACAGAGUAAUAUAUUUUUGGUACUUACAGUUAGAAUUUUAGCAUGUUAACAUUAGCAUACUAGCUUUGUAGAUCAUUUAAGAGGUACUCACCACAGAGUAAUAUAUUUUGGUACUUACAGUUAGAAUUUUAGCAUGCUAACAUUAGCAUGAUAGCUUUUUU